AUGCACGCUGACAGAAUGCUUAACCCAUGCAAGUCAACUUGAACUUCGGUUUGGGUGGCGGACGGGUGAGUAACGCGUAAAGAACUUGCCUCACAGCUAGGGACAACAUUUGGAAACGAAUGCUAAUACCUGAUAUUAUGAUUUUAGGGCAUCCUAGAAUUAUGAAAGCUAUAUGCGCUGUGAGAGAGCUUUGCGUCCCAUUAGCUAGUUGGAGAGGUAACGGCUCACCAAGGCGAUGAUGGGUAGCCGGCCUGAGAGGGUGAACAGCCACAAGGGGAAUGAGACACGGCCCUUACUCCUACGGGAGGCAGCAGUGGGGAAUAUUGGACAAUGGACCAAGAGUCUGAUCCAGCAAUUCUGUGUGCACGAUGAAGUUUUUCGGAAUGUAAAGUGCUUUCAGUUGGGAAGAAAAAAAUGACGGUACCAACAGAAGAAGUGACGGCUAAAUACGUG
rnacentral:rRNA from 1 species